UGGGGAAUAUUGCACAAUGGGCGCAAGCCUGAUGCAGCCAUGCCGCGUGUGUGAAGAAGGCCUUCGGGUUGUAAAGCACUUUCAGCGGGGAGGGAGGCGUUAAGGUUAAUAACCUUGGCGAUUGACGUUACCCGCAGAAGAAGCACCGGCUAACUCCGUGCCAGCAGCCGCGGUAAUACGGAGGGUGCAAGCGUUAAUCGGAAUUACUGGGCGUAAAGCGCACGCAGGCGGUCUGUCAAGUCGGAUGUGAAAUCCCCGGGCUCAACCUGGGAAAUGCAUUCGAAACUGGCAGGCUAGAGUAUUGUAGAGGGGGGUAGAAUUCGAGGUGUAGCGGUGAAAUGCGUAGAGAUAUGGAGGAAUACCGGUGGCGAAGGCGGCCCCCUGGACAAAGACUGACGCUAAGGUGCGAAAGCGUGGGGAGCAAACAGG
rnacentral:rRNA from 1 species